rnacentral:lncRNA from 1 species
UGACUGUAGGUCCAGGACCACAUAAGCAUUGAGGAAUGCUCAACAAAUAUUCAGGGAUGGGAUGAAUUGAAUCCGGCGCAGUCUCACUUCAGCGAGGCCAAGUCAUUUCUAAGGCCACACAACAAACUGUGGACUUUAUUCCUGGAGCAUUUGCUGAACAUCAAAGCCAGGCUGAGCACCAGGCACACCAGGCACAGGGGAAUGACUGUGACAAGUUACACUUUGGAACACUCCUGGAACUUGCAUUAACUAAGUCCUUGGUCUGCACACUAAGAGUCUAUCUCUGGAGCAAUCUUAGUUUUGUUAGGCAUUAAAUGUAGGACAUUGAACAUGCCGGACAUGCUUUGAUACAGAGCUCCAUCUCCCACCACUCCAGUCUUCAUCGAGGCAUUUCAUAAAGGCCCUACAGGAUCCAGAAUGUCUGUUUGUUUCCUGGAGCUCUGUGACUUUCAGCUCAACCAUGACCUGCCCAGAGGCAAGGUAGCCAGUGAAAGGAGCCACUCUCCCUAGGCUGGGGACAGACUGUCAAAGAGGGAGGGUCAGAGCAUCUCAUCAGCAUCUCUAGUGACGUGAAAACUUCAUUGGCUAAGUUCCAACUCUUGGACCUUCCCUGUCUUCACGAAGUCCCCUCCAUCAACACCCUUGAUCUGCUUUGUGGAUGGUCUUGAGCUUUGGGCCACCUUCUCUGCGACUGCAGCCUCUCUGUCUGGCCGUUACGCUCGUAUCUGGGUAUAGGCACCAGGCACGUGUGGUAUAUGGUGUAUAUCCUCUGGUGUACAGAGAAUGAAGAAAGGGGCUUUCUAUAAACUGGCCUUCUCCGUGCACCAAACCAGCUCCUUCCCUUUUAUUAUGAAUCAUGUUCCCAGAGGACACACCUGGACUUUAGAAUCCACCUGGCUUCUGAAAAUUUAAGCCCUGUUUAUUUCCACAUCAUUCUUGGACAUUUCACAGACUGUAAGUGUUAUCACUGGGGCUGGAGAGAUGGCUCAGUGUUUAAGAGGACCAACUGCUCUUCCAAAGGUCCUGAGUUCAAAUCCCAGCAACCACAUGGUGGCUCACAACCAUCUGUAACAAGAUCUGAUGCCCUCUUCUGGAGUGUCUGAAGACAGCUACAGUGUACUCACACA